GCGUUGGUGGUGUAGUGGUGAGCAUAGCUGCCUACCAAGCAGCUGACCUGGGUUCGAAUCCCGGCCAACGCA
rfam:Astyanax mexicanus chromosome 2, whole genome shotgun sequence.